rnacentral:rRNA from 1 species
CCUACGGGUGGCAGCAGUGGGGAAUAUUGGACAAUGGGGGGAACCCUGAUCCAGCCAUGCCGCGUGUGUGAAGAAGGCCCUCGGGUUGUAAAGCACUUUCAGUGAGGAAGAACGCCUGGUGGUUAAUACCCAUCAGGAAAGACAUCACUCACAGAAGAAGCACCGGCUAACUCCGUGCCAGCAGCCGCGGUAAUACGGAGGGUGCGAGCGUUAAUCGGAAUUACUGGGCGUAAAGCGCGCGUAGGUGGCUUGAUAAGCCGGUUGUGAAAGCCCCGGGCUCAACCUGGGAACGGCAUCCGGAACUGUCAAGCUAGAGUGCAGGAGAGGAAGGUAGGAUUCCCGGUGUAGCGGUGAAAUGCGUAGAGAUCGGGAGGAAUACCAGUGGCGAAGGCGGCCUUCUGGACUGACACUGACACUGAGGUGCGAAAGCGUGGGUAGCAAACAGGAUUAGAUACCCGUGUAGUC